CUCUUCGAACACCCUCAAGCCUCAUUGGCUGAGCAGUAGCACCUUCUUCCAAGUGCAAGCCAGUCGAAGCUUGUUUCUUCUCAAGUUCCUCUGCCAUUUCAAGAGGCUUUAGGAUAGGUUGCAGCUUAUGCUCUCCCCUACUUAUCCCCCCACUUUCAAGUUGUUCCAUUUUCUCGUCUACAAGCUGAGAACCAUCGCCAUGGGAACCAAAAUUAUCGCCAGGACUCACAAGUUCCUCCUCAUCUACCUCUUCCAACGCAGAGUCAUUCUCGAUCGCUUCAUCUUCAUUAUCCUGAUAUCUUCCUAUGGAGUCACCCCCCACCAGUAAUGCAGAACCACCAUCAUCAUCAUCAGCUAACACGGAUGUUUCUUACCCAUCUUCUUCAAACUCACUGGAAGCUGAAACUGCCACAGCAUCAUCCGGAGUUUGGCUAAUGGUAGCAUCGGAAAUUCGGCUAACUCCACUGUCAGCGUUAACAGCUCGUUCAUCCACUUCAAUUUCAGAUUUGACUUCAUUUUCAUCUUUGUUCGUUUCAGCGAUUUCCUUCUCAGAGCUCCCAGCUUCAACGGACUCUCCAUUUGACGGAGUCGAAG
rnacentral:lncRNA from 1 species